GGGUCCCUACCGACGCUGGGGUGCGAAAGCAUGGGGAGCGAACAGGAUUAGAUACCCUGGUAGUCCAUGCCGUAAACGAUGAGUGUUCACCCUUGGUCUACGCGGAUCAGGGGCCCAGCUAACGCUUGAAACACUCCGCCUGUGGAGUACGGUCACAAGACCGAAACUCAAAGGAAUUGACGGGGGCCUGCACAAGCGGUGGAGCAUGUGGUUUAAUUUGAUACAACGCGCAAAACCUUACCAGCCCUUGACAUAUGAACAACAAAACCUGUCCUUAACAGGAUGGUACUGACUUUCAUACAGGUGCUGCAUGGCUGUCGUCAGCUCGUGUCGUGAGAUGUUUGGUCAAGUCCUAUAACGAGCGAAACCCUCGUUUUGUGUUGCUGAGACAUGCGCUUAAGGAGAAAUUGCCACCGAGUGACGUGCCAGCGCUACUACUUGAUUGAGUGCCAGCACGUAGCUGUGCUUUCAGCAAGAAUUUCACCAUUGGGAGCCGGUGCCUUUCGAAGCACUUUCACGUGUCAACCGAAGUCGUCUUGCCCAAGACCCACGGAGACCUACCUAUAGUGACGUCAAAGUACCAGUGAGCAUGGAGGUUUGGUUGAAAUUGGUUACGACGACAUCGAGUUGGCGGCGAAGGAAGACUCGGCAUGAAGGCCAGAAAAUGGUGUGGAACGUAGUGGUAAUAGUACGUGCCCCGCUCGGAAACAAAGAAAAAGGUGCGUGCCGCACUCACGAGGGACUGCCAGUGAGAUACUGGAGGAAGGUGGGGAUGACGUCAGGUCCGCAUGGCCCUUAUGGGCUGGGCCACACACGUGCUACAAUGGCAAUGACAAUGGGAAGCAAGGCUGUAAGGCGGAGCGAAUCCGGAAAGAUUGCCUCAGUUCGGAUUGUUCUCUCCAACUCGGGAACAGGAAGUUGAAAUCGCUAGUAAUCGCGGAUCAGCAUGCCGCGGUGAAUAUGUAUCCGGGCCCUGUACACACCGCCGUCACACCCUGGGAAUUGGUUUCGCCGGAAGCAUCGGACCAAUGAUCACCCAUGACUUCUGUGUACCACUAGUGCCACAAAGGCCUUUGGUGGUCUUAUUGGCGCAUACCACGGUGGGGUCUUCGACUGGGGUGAAGUCGUAACAAGGUAGCCGUAGGGGAACCUGUGGCUGGAUUGAAUCCUUC
rfam:Triticum aestivum genome assembly, contig: Triticum_aestivum_CS42_TGACv1_scaffold_616873_7DL